rnacentral:rRNA from 1 species
CACCAGGUUGAUUCUGCCUGACGUAGAUGCUAGUCUCUAAGAUUAAGCCAUGCAUGUUUUAUGUAAUAAGGACGAACAGCUCAGUAGAACUACGAUGAUUUAGUCUGUCUGAGAGCGAUAACUACGUGAAAAUGUAGCUAAGAGAGGACAGAAUAAGACGUAGGACUAUCAGUUAGUUGGUAGUGUAAUGGACUACCAAGACUUUGACGGGUAACGGGGAAUCAGGGUUUGAUACCGGAGAGGGAGCCUGAGAGACAGCUCCCACGUCCAUGGACGGCAGCAGGCGCGAAAAUUGCCCACUCUUUGUAGGAGGCAGUUAUGAGACGUGAAGAUGAAUAUUCAGCAAAGAUGAAUAGGAGAAUUGGAGGGCAAGUUUGGUGCCAGCAGCCGCGG